rnacentral:rRNA from 1 species
GAUCCUGGCUCAGGAUAAACGCUGGCGGCGUGCUUAACACAUGCAAGUCGAACGAAGUUUUUCUUUCGGGAGGAACUUAGUGGCGGACGGGUGAGUAACGCGUGGGUAACCUGCCCUGUACAGGGGGACAACAGCUGGAAACGGCUGCUAAUACCGCAUAAGCCCUUAGCACUGCAUGGUGCAUAGGGAAAAGGAGCAAUCCGGUACAGGAUGGACCCGCGUCUGAUUAGCCAGUUGGCAGGGUAACGGCCU